CCUACGGGGGGCAGCAGUGGGGAAUAUUGGACAAUGGGGGGGACCCUGAUCCAGCCAUGCCGCGUGUGUGAAGAAGGCCCUCGGGUUGUAAAGCACUUUCAGUGAGGAAGAACGCCUGGUGGUUAAUACCCAUCAGGAAAGACAUCACUCACAGAAGAAGCACCGGCUAACUCCGUGCCAGCAGCCGCGGUAAUACGGAGGGUGCGAGCGUUAAUCGGAAUUACUGGGCGUAAAGCGCGCGUAGGUGGCUUGAUGAGCCGGUUGUGAAAGCCCCGGGCUCAACCUGGGAACGGCAUCCGGAACUGUCAAGCUAGAGUGCAGGAGAGGAAGGUAGAAUUCCCGGUGUAGCGGUGAAAUGCGUAGAGAUCGGGAGGAAUACCAGUGGCGAAGGCGGCCUUCUGGACUGACACUGACACUGAGGUGCGAAAGCGUGGGUAGCAAACAGGAUUAGAUACCCUAGUAGUC
rnacentral:rRNA from 1 species